rnacentral:rRNA from 1 species
UACGUAGGGGGCUAGCGUUGUCCGGAAUCAUUGGGCGUAAAGCGCGUGUAGGCGGUUCGGUAAGUCCGCUGUGAAAGUCGGGGGCUCAACCCUCGGAUGCCGGUGGAUACUGUCGGGCUUGAGUACGGAAGAGGCGAGUGGAAUUCCUGGUGUAGCGGUGGAAUGCGCAGAUAUCAGGAGGAACACCAAUAGCGAAGGCAGCUUACUAGACUGUAACUGACGCUGAGGCACGAAAGUGUGGGGAUCAAACAGG